AGGGAGAUAGUUCAGUGGUAGAACAUGGGAUUGUGGUUUUAAGAUCAGGGUCCGAUUCCCUGUCUUCCUA
rnacentral:tRNA from 1 species